GGGGUUGUAGAGUAAUUGGUUAACUCACCGGACUGUAAAUCCGUGCCGCUGGCUAUGUUGGUUCGAAUCCAUCCAGCCCCACCA
rnacentral:tRNA from 1 species